CUGACUUGGGGGCGCAGCUCAGAGUGCCAAUGCGCCGCAACCUCCGUUGCGCCCGCACGUGCCCUAGCCAGUCGCCAUGGAGCUCAUCCCCAUCAAGCCCGAGAUUGGAUAGGAGCUCCGAACGCGAGCCAUAGACGGGGAGUUGAUGCCACCGGGCAAUGGAUGGUCGCAUCCUCAGGACCUCCGCGUGCAACAGCAGCGGGGAUUCCACGGAGGGACUCCUCUCAGGAAAAAACCAAGUGGCUAUCAUUUUUCUCAUCGCCUACUUCAAUAGCCUACAGCAUUAGCAGUACCGUGCUUUUUACUUCACAAGAAAAGGUUGGCCGAGGUCCCUGCUCUAGCGCAAGGAUUUCUACUGCAACGAUUGCAACACACACAGGAACUUUUUUGAAACCUUCAAGCUUCAACGCUUGA
rnacentral:misc_RNA from 1 species